rnacentral:rRNA from 1 species
GACGAACGCUGGCGGCGUGCUUAACACAUGCAAGUCGAACGGAAAGGCCCUGCUUUUGUGGGGUGCUCGAGUGACGAACGGGUGAGUAACACGUGAGUAACCUGCCCUUGACUUUGGGAUAACUUCAGGAAACUGGGGCUAAUACCGGAUAGGAGCUCCUGCUGCAUGGUGGGGGUUGGAAAGUUUCGGCGGUUGGGGAUGGACUCGCGGCUUAUCAGCUUGUUGGUGGGGUAGUGGCUUACCAAGGCUUUGACGGGUAGCCGGCCUGAGAGGGUGACCGGCCACAUUGGGACUGAGAUACGGCCCAGACUCCUACGGGAGGCAGCAGUGGGGAAUAUUGCACAAUGGGCGGAAGCCUGAUGCAGCAACGCCGCGUGCGGGAUGACGGCCUUCGGGUUGUAAACCGCUUUCGCCUGUGACGAAGCGUGAGUGACGGUAAUGGGUAAAGAAGCACCGGCUAACUACGUGCCGGCAGCCGCGGUGAUACGUAGGGUGCGAGCGUUGUCCGGAUUUAUUGGGCGUAAAGGGCUCGUAGGUGGUUGAUCGCGUCGGAAGUGUAAUCUUGGGGCUUAACCCUGGGCGUGCUUUCGAUACGGGUUGACUUGAGGAGGGUAGGGGAGAAUGGAAUUCCUGGUGGAGCGGUGGAAUGCGCAGAUAUCAGGAGGAACACCAGUGGCGAAGGCGGUUCUCUGGGCCUUUCCUGACGCUGAGGAGCGAAAGCGUGGGGAGCGAACAGGCUUAGAUACCCUGGUAGUCCACGCUGUAAACGGUGGGUACUAGGUGUGGGGUCCAUUCCACGGGUUCCGUGCCGUAGCUAACGCUUUAAGUACCCCGCCUGGGGAGUACGGCCGCAAGGCUAAAACUCAAAGGAAUUGACGGGGCCCCGCACAAGCGGCGGAGCAUGCGGAUUAAUUCGAUGCAACGCGUAGAACCUUACCUGGGUUUGACAUGGAUCGGGAGUGCUCAGAGAUGGGUGUGCCUCUUUUGGGGUCGGUUCACAGGUGGUGCAUGGCUGUCGUCAGCUCGUGUCGUGAGAUGUUGGGUUAAGUCCCGCAACGAGCGCAACCCUUGUUCACUGUUGCCAGCACGUUAUGGUGGGGACUCAGUGGAGACCGCCGGGGUCAACUCGGAGGAAGGUGGGGAUGACGUCAAGUCAUCAUGCCCCUUAUGUCCAGGGCUUCACGCAUGCUACAAUGGCUGGUACAGAGAGUGGCGAGCCUGUGAGGGUGAGCGAAUCUCGGAAAGCCGGUCUCAGUUCGGAUUGGGGUCUGCAACUCGACCUCAUGAAGUCGGAGUCGCUAGUAAUCGCAGAUCAGCAACGCUGCGGUGAAUACGUUCCCGGG